rnacentral:piRNA from 1 species
UGGUGUCUGUGGGUUGACCCGCCACA